rnacentral:lncRNA from 1 species
GGUGACCCAGGCUCUCACCAGCCAAUUGUCCCUUGCCGUCCUCCUGAGGGUAUCUGGAGCUUCAGUGCUGUGUGCUCUUGGCCUCCACACUGGGGAUGCCACUGACUCCCACUGUCCAGGGCUUCCAGUGGACUCUCCGAGGCCCUGAUGUAGAAACUUCCCCAUUCGGUGCACCAAGAGCAGCCUCACAUGGUGUGGGCCGACAUCAAGAGCUGCGAGAUCCAACAGAAAUGUGAUUGAUAACAGUAAAGCCACACUCCUCGCAUGCCUGAAAUACCCCUCAUUGUCUUCUUCAGGUGGCAAGGGCUCUGAAACAGCCACAUAAAGCCCUUGUAGAUAAGGAUGGUCAAAUAAAAUAAUAUUAUAUCUGUAAAAACUCAGAUCUUGGUAAGAUUUACUAGUUGGGAAUCCAGUGUUA